rnacentral:tRNA from 1 species
GCGGGUUCGCGGCCAAUCGCAGUCGGUCUACGGAACCGAAGGUCACAGGUUCGAAUCCUGUCGGGCGCG